UCUUUUAAACAAAAAUUGAAUUGAAGAACUAUACCAAAUGUAUAUGACCAAGUUUGGAAAAGAAUGUUAAUUAUUUGGUUCUGUCUAUGCGGGCAAAUGAUUGAAUUUUGUGGUAAUUAAUUUGAAUAUAGCAUUAAGAAAACCUGAUUUGAAGAUCUGGGUUCUCAUUUCCUACUGAAUUAUAUACAAGUUCUUUGGCAUAGCGUUUAAAGCGUUCCACAGCGCGCCACUGAGCCACUUUUCUAUCUUUAUCCUCCUCUAAUCCUCUCUCUCUAAGCUGUGCUCCAGACAAACUAGAUUGCUUGUCAUUCCCUACUUUUCCUAAUACUACUCUCUAGACCUGAAAUCUUUUGCUUUCUUACCAGAUCACUUCCCUUCUUGCUUUUCAUUUCCUGCCCAUGUCCUAUUCAAAAUUCUCAAAAUUUUGAUUGCUUUUCUCUCAAGGCCUGUCUCAAUUGUUAGCUGUACCAUAGCCGUGCUUGGUUAUUUUUCCUGAAGCAUUUUUAAUGCUUUGCAUCCUUCUCUUUUGCUUUAACCUUGUAAAACUCCUACUCAUCCUUGUUUUUCUUGUUGUGACUAUCAUAGUGACUUGCAUGUAUCAUAAAACCAAUAAGUAUGUUUUUGAAUUAAGUUGAAUCAUCCCCACUGACAGCCACUAUUUAUGUUAGACAUUGGGAAAUUAUUCAAAUCACGAAAUCAUCUUGUUUGCAUAGACAAAGGUACUGUACCAGGCUCUCCCCAUUAUAUUGCCUCAUUAGUCCUCAUUCACCAAGCAUGGGUUGAACACCUACUAAUUGCAGUGUGCUGUGUUACUCUGUCCUGGAAACAGGACCAAAUAUAAUUACAUAAUCAUGUGUCAGGAAAAAUAUGUAAUUAUGUGCAUCUCACAUAUUCAAAAUAAAUUUCUAAAAUAAAAUAAUUAGACUAACUUGAUAUCAAUUAAAUCUUGUCCAAAUAAAGACGGAACAUUCAGCUUUGUUCAAUCUCAUGUAAAUGCUGAUAAAGAGAGUUAAUCCUUCCACUUGAGAAAAACAAUUAACACAUAUCUAACCCAGGCACUCAUUUAUUCAAGAACUUUCUCAAACAAAUUCAUAAGUGAAGAAAAAUUUUUCUUCUCAGUGCCUCAGUUGUUUUUUCAAAGGUGCUUCCAAGGAUUUUGUUUCAGAAUCUGAUUUUGGUAUGUGUCUCAGGGUUGAGGCAACAGAAGGAGAGUUGAAGUCUGGCAGCAGCAAACAAUUGUGGAAAAUUUGUGAAGUAAUAUUGUCCUUGCAACAUUUUCCGGCCUACUUUUCAGGACCCAUGGGCUUUAGAUAAGCAUUAGUGCAUUCGUAAAAUGACCACAUGAUGAUUUGCAAGCCAAAAAGCAUAAGAAAUGCAUUAUGGUUCUGUCUGGUAAAGAAGACAGAGAGAGAGAGAGAGAG